CCAAGCUGCAAACUUGGCGACGCACCUGUGAGUGCCGGGGCUU
rnacentral:tRNA from 1 species